rnacentral:snRNA from 1 species
ACCCUAGAAGAUGGUGUAUAGG